UAAGUCGAUAGUAUAAAUAAUCGCAAACCCUUUCCAAAUCUCUCGUCUUCUCCGCAGUAACCCUGGCUGGUUUUCGUUUUUAGGGUUUUGAGAGAAGCAAACAAGUUUCAGUUGCAAUCACCACCAUGAGGGCUAAGUGGAAGAAGAAGCGUAUGAGGAGAUUGAAGAGGAAGCGCCGAAAGAUGAGACAAAGAUCUAAGUAGAGAGAAAGAUGACGAAGGAUUUCACUCAUCUAGGGUUUCAUUCUCGGAGUUAGUUCUUAAUUCGUUUUGUUUAAUCUUACUUUAGUUAGUGGGAGUUGAACUAAGAGGAUCUAGAGUUGUUAAGUUUUGUUGUUAUUGUUAGUUCUGAUACAAUCUUAGUGAAUUCGACUUAUUAACAAUGGGUAUUAUCUUUGUUAUGAUACUUGGAGGAAUUCUAUCUUAAUCAGAUUUUGAUGAAUUUACAUAAUAAUCCAGUCUCAGAUCUAUGAUU